CGGGGGGGGCAAGCGUUGUUCGGAAUUACUGGGCGUAAAGGGCUCGUAGGCGGCCAACUAAGUCGGACGUGAAAUCCCUCGGCUCAACCGGGGAACUGCGUCUGAUACUGGAUGGCUUGAAUCCGGAAGAGGGAUGCGGAAUUCCAGGUGUAGCGGUGAAAUGCGUAGAUAUCUGGAGGAACACCGGUGGCGAAGGCGGCAUCCUGGGUCGGUAUUGACGCUGAGGAGCGAAAGCCAGGGGAGCAAGCGGGAUUAGAUACCCCGGUAGUCCUGGCCCUAAACGAUGAAUGCUUGGUGUGGUGGGUAUCGAUCCCUGCCGUGCCGAAGCUAACGCAUUAAGCAUUCCGCCUGGGGAGUACGGUCGCAAGGCUG
rnacentral:rRNA from 1 species